UUGGAGGGCAAGUCUGGUGCCAGCAGCCGCGGUAAUUCCAGCUCCAAUAGCGUAUAUUAAAGUUGUUGCAGUUAAAAAGCUCGUAGUUGAAUUUCGGGAUCGAUGGGUCGGUCAUGCCCUCGGUAUGUACUGAUCCCAUUGGUCCUCACCUUCUAAGGAACCAUGAUGUCAUUCGGUUGAUGUUGUGGGGAAUUAGGACUGUUAACCUUGAAAAAACUUAGAGUGUUUAAAGCAGGCUAACGCUUGAAUACAUUAGCAUGGAAUAAUGAAAUAGGACAUCGCAUUCUAUUUUGUUGGUUUCUAGGAUCGAUGUAAUGAUUAAUAGGGAUAGUUGGGGGCAUUAGUAUUCAAUUGUCAGAGGUGAAAUUCUUGGAUUUAUGAAGCUAACUACUGCGAAAGCAUUUGCCAAGGAUGUUUUCAUUAA
rnacentral:rRNA from 1 species